AUUGAACGCUGGCGGCAGGCCUAACACAUGCAAGUCGAACGAGUGGCGGACGGGUGAGUAAUGUCUGGGAAACUGCCCGAUGGAGGGGGAUAACUACUGGAAACAGUAGCUAAUACCGCAUACCAUCGGAUGUGCCCAGAUGGGAUUAGCUAGUCGGUGGGGUAACGGCUCACCUAGGCGACGAUCCCUAGCUGGGCUGAGAGGAUUACAAGCCACACUGGAACUGAGACACGGUCCAGACUCCUACGGGAGGCAGCAGUGGGGAAUAUUGCGACAUGGGCGACAGCCUGACGCAGCCAUGCCGCGUGUAUGAAGAAGGCUUUCGGGUUGUAAAGUACUUUCAGCGGGGAGGCGUUACUCGCAGAAGAAGCACCGGCUAACUCCGUGCCAGCAGCCGCGGUAAUAC
rnacentral:rRNA from 1 species